rnacentral:rRNA from 1 species
UACGUAGGGUGCAAGCGUUAAUCGGAAUUACUGGGCGUAAAGCGCACGUAGGCGGCUUUGCAAGUCAGAGGUGAAAGCCCGGGGCUCAACCCCGGAAUUGCCUUUGAGACUGCAUCGCUAGAAUUGUGGAGAGGUAAGUGGAAUUCCGAGUGUAGAGGUGAAAUUCGUAGGUAUUCGGAAGAACACCAGUGGCGAAGGCGACUUACUGGACACAUAUUGACGCUGAGGUGCGAAAGCGUGGGGAGCAAACAGG